AUGCACGCUGGCGGCGUGCCUAAUACAUGCAAGUCGAGCGAACAGACGAGGAGCUUGCUCCUCUGACGUUAGCGGCGGGCGGGUGAGUAACACGUGGAUAACCUACCUAUAAGACUGGGAUAACUUCGGGAAACCGGAGCUAAUACCGGAUAAUAUAUUGAACCGCAUGGUUCAAUAGUGAAAGACGGUUUUGCUGUCACUUAUAGAUGGAUCCGCGCCGCAUUAGCUAGUUGGUAAGGUAACGGCUUACCAAGGCAACGAUGCGUAGCCGACCUGAGAGGGUGAUCGGCCACACUGGAACUGAGACACGGUCCAGACUCCUACGGGAGGCAGCAGUAGGGAAUCUUCCGCAAUGGGCGAAAGCUUGACGGAGCAACGCCGCGUGAGUGAUGAAGGUCUUCGGAUCGUAAAACUCUGUUAUUAGGGAAGAACAAAUGUGUAAGUAACUAUGCACGUCUUGACGGUACCUAAUCAGAAAGCCACGGCUAACUACGUG
rnacentral:rRNA from 1 species